CAGCUCAAAUUUGAAAUCUGGCGCAAGCCCGAGUUGUAAUUUGUAGAGGAUGCUUCUGGGCAGCGGCCGGUCUAAGUUCCUUGGAACAGGACGUCAUAGAGGGUGAGAAUCCCGUAUGCGACCGGCUUGCACCCGUCACGUAGCUCCUUCGACGAGUCGAGUUGUUUGGGAAUGCAGCUCUAAAUGGGAGGUAAAUUUCUUCUAAGGCUAAAUACCGGCCAGAGACCGAUAGCGCACAAGUAGAGUGAUCGAAAGAUGAAAAGCACUUUGGAAAGAGAGUUAAAAAGCACGUGAAAUUGUUGAAAGGGAAGCUCACGCAACCAGACUUGUCGGCGGUGUUCCGCCGGUCUUCUGACCGGUCUAUUCGCCGCCGGCAGGCCAGCAUCACUUGGGAGCGCCGGAUAAAGGCGUGCGGAAUGUAGCCCCUCGGGGCAUUAUAGCCGCGCGCACAAUACGGCGCCUCCCGAGUGAGGUCC
rnacentral:rRNA from 1 species